rnacentral:snRNA from 1 species
AUAUUUACCUGGAUGGGGUCAAUGGGCAAUUAUGAAGGCCCAUGGCCUAGUCUAGUGACCUCCAUUGCACUUUAGAGGGGUGUUUGCCUAAGGUCGAUCCAAGUCGUCGAGCCUACGACAUUAUAAUAC